AGAUAAAGCUUAAUUAGCAUCUCUUUUACAUAGAGAAAUUUUUUUGUGAAAAUCAAUCUAUCUUGA
rnacentral:tRNA from 1 species